ensembl:lncRNA
UAUUUUGGAUUUAAACAUUUUUAUUUCAGUUCAGUUGUACUGUUUAUAAAAGAGUCUGCUUUGAUACCAACAUAUAUUUGCAUGUCUGUGUGAAUGUGUGUCACCUCUAAUUCUUGGAUAAAUGUGUGAUAUGUGCAUUUUAAUUUGUGAGGUUGUUUUUAGUACCAAUGAAUGUGUGUCUGAGUAUGUGUCUGGUUGUUAGUAAGGCAACAUGCAGUCUCGUUUCAGAUGGCUUCAAAGGGCAAACACUGUUAUGGUUUAAAAGACCUGUUUUAGCCAGGAGCGCAGACACAGGGGAGGGGCCAGGGCACAUUGUUGAGUGACAGGAGGUGUGUCUUGUAUGACUGAGCAGUAAAAGCAUGACGAAUGGGUGGAGAGAUUUGUUUCCUCUGAGACCAGAUGUAUGGGAUGUCAAGCAGUGGAGGUAUUUCACCUGGCGACUACUUGCAUCCACUUCUGAGGUAGGCCUACAUACUGAAUCUGUUGGGCACUUUAUCUUUAAUCUGAUCACAUGCAAAAACACCUCAACAGAUCUUAUUUAUUGCCUUUCAUUGCAACUAGUGAAAUUAUAAAGGCCAUUGCAAACUCCUGAUGUAACCGUUCUCUCUUUGAUAACGCUAUAAUUGCAGACCCAGGUUUGAGUGGAAAGACAGCUGGAAACACCAGACAGUAUCUGUUUAUGAGAUACAUAGUUCCCUGUAUGUACUGCAGCCCCAUUGAAGGUGUGAGACUGGGUAACGUGAUCGGUCAUGCGAAUAUGGGGAGUAAAACAGACAAUAUGAUCCUGUUAACCCAUAACUCCACUUUCACUCCGACCCUGAACCCCGAUCUGUCAUAAUAAGGGGAUGUCAGGCAUUAAGACACAAGGGGUUAAAUAUACACAGGCUUCAAACACAUAUUAAUCAACAAACCUGACUAAAGCAUACACUGAUAUAAGUACAUCUACAGUAUAAGUACAGGUGUUACGUUAGCUGACAGCGUGAACACUACCAGUAAGUCUCACAUUGCCGAAACUCUUGGGGAGAAAAAAAUAUAUAUUGUUCUGAGAAGUCUUUCUCAACGUUGUGGUGUAUAUGCGUGUGUGUACUGUAUGUGUGGUAAGGUGAUCUUGAGUGGGCACAGGGGAUGGUGGGUGAGGAUGGUCACAGUGGUAAGGUGGGUAAAUGUCCGGGAUGAGGUAUAUGGACGGUAAAGGCAUUAGGGUAGGAAUGUGUAGAGUGUUUAUGGUUGAGGGUUGUUUUGGUUGGGGAGGAUCUUUUAGAUUUUUUGUUGUUGUUUCGAUCGAUUCACACAAAGAAAGCAUCAGAGAGGAGACGCUGGGGGCAGUAAGGUUCCCCAGGACCCAUGAGGUGAUGAUGGGAUACGCAGGACAAGCAGCAGCUCUUCUAAAACAGAAGACGAGGGAGACCGCUGCUAAUCACUGAGGUCAGGACCAACACUCCUGAGAGAGAGAAAUAACAUUUUAAAUAUUGUGAGUGAGAGAAGCAGAAGUAACAGAUUUCUGCUGCAGAUGUAUUCAUCAAAAUGGACUUGCCAACAUGUGCGUUCUGGCAGAGUAGUCGAUUAUCUGGCACCACCCUAAUUUUCAGUCCCCAUGUAUUAAGAGGUGUGCUUUCAAUAUAUGAGAACAUGUAGUUCCUGCAUUAGGAUAUGGUUGACUGAUACCCAGGUGUAAAAAAAUCCCCUAGCUCACACCUAACCCCAUACCUAACCCCAUACCUCACACCUAACCCCA